rnacentral:lncRNA from 1 species
ACAGCAGAGGAAAUGGCAAUGAGCAAAGAGCAGAGUCCUUGGCUUCCCUUUUUCAGAAUCUUCUAGGCCAUGAUCAUUGGUGCCUCUGUGGACAGCCUCUGUCUGCAGAUCAGAGCACCAUUGCCAGUUGCCAAGAGGAACUUUCUCUGAGGCUUCUGGAAGAGGAAUCCAUGCUGCUGUGGCUUUUGCUGCUGGUUCUAGGGCAGUACAAACCAGUUCAGCCUUGAUGUUUCCCGGAGUCAGGCCUCACCUGCUGUCUCCUGUCCACACAGGGAUCCCUGUGUCUUUUGUCUCCAUGGAAACGCUACCUCCAAGGGGGCAGGUGGUUGAAGAGAAGAUGCUGGCUGGUCCUUGUCUGCUCUGAGUCUGAAGGCACAGGGGGCAUCAUGUUUUCCUGACACAGAGAGGACACAAAGGGGAGCCUGGAGAGGAAAACUUGGCUUUUCUAGGUCUCCCGGGGCCCAGGCUGCCAUGGGGGAAGUGGUGGAGCUUCACUGUGAGGCCCAGAGGGGCUCUCCCCCAAGCCUGUACCAGUUCUAUCAUGAGGAUGUCACCCUGCGGAGCAGCUCAGCAUCCUCUGGAGAAGGAACAUCCCACAACCUCUCUGCAGAACAUUCUGGAAAAUCCUGUGUCAGGCCAACAAUAGCCUAGGAGCCCAGCCCAGUGAGGCAGUGCUUUUCAAUGUCAUUCAGCUUGAGCCUUGGCUAUGGGCUCUCUUUCAAAAGAUAAACUCCAAGCAUGCCAGUGUAUGAGGAAGAGUAUUUCGUGAAGACUGGAUUUCCUCAGUGACUUACAGUGGAAACAGAGACAGGAGGUCAUGAAAAUUAGUUGCUAGCUUCCCACUAGCCUGAGAGGAGUGGGCUAUACUCCAGGGCAUUGGACAAAUAACUGAACAUCACUUAACCAUUUCAAACUAAGGCAAAAUGCACUGGAACGCCUGCCCGAUUCCGCACUUCACACCCCUUCCUCUGGAGUAUCUUCAGGAUUCCAGCCUGAGUCCCUGACCUCUGAGCCUCACCCACAGAACACUCUCCUCAGAGGUCCCCUAGGACAAAGGCCAUGCCACCUUCCGGUUGCGGUGACUGGGGGACGCUGCUUGGUUUCCUGGCAACUACUGCUCUGUUUUUUUACCUGUGGCUCCAGAGGAAGUCAGAAACCUGUCCAGCCCAGAUCUCCGUGAACGCCUCUGCUGCAGCUCACCUAACCCGGCCAGGGACCAGGAGCCCAUGGAAAGCAAUGAUGAGUACUGAGGAAAGAUGUAGGGAUGAGGUGAGGCUUGCAUGGAUGUUCCAGUCUUCCCAGGUCCUGCCGAGGCUCGUUUGGGGUUUCCAAGAUAAGUAUGAAGCAUGUGGUCAGAAAAAGUGCCAAUGUGAGCCCUUGGCCACCGUGUUCUUCCUAACCGUGUCCACUUUCUCAGUGAAUCCAGCGUGUGUGUUUUUUUCCCCCAGGUCUGGAGCACCCAUCUGAAGAUUUAGGCAGUGCUUAUUUUUUAAAUUAAGGAUUCCUCUGCUGUCUAUUUAGAGGUGAAGAAAGAACAGCCCACAGCAGCCUCAGCUGAGCAGCAGUAAAAGGAACCUGUAGUUGGAGCUCUUCUUAAGAAGUCUGAAAAUCAGGAGUUCCCAUCGUGGCACGCGGAAACAAAUCCGACUAGGAACCAUGAGGUUGAGGGUUCGAUCCCUGGCCUUGCUCAGGGGGUUGGGGAUCCGGCGUUGCUGUGAGCUGUGGUGUAGGUCACAGACAUGGCUUGGAUCUGGCAUUGCUGUGGCUGUGGGGUAGGCUGACAGUUGUAGCUCCGAUUAGACCUCUAGCCUGGGACCCUGCAUAUGCUGCAGGUGCGGCCCUAAAAAGACAAAAAAAAAAAAGUCUGAAAAUCAGAUAAUAACAGAUCUUCAGACUUGGUAAUGGUAUUUAUUCUGGAGCUGAAUCUCAGCUUCUGCUUUCAAAUGGUGCAUGUGCUCCCCAAUUAACCACAGUAUCUGCCGCUUGGUAUUGUUUCCUUGAAUCU